UAUGAUACAUCCCAACAGAACUGAAGCAACUAAUUUAUUCAUGAAAAUGGUUGGUUUAAAGCUCGAAAGCUCAUACCGAGAUGGCUUUUUUCACAGCUUCAUGACGAAGUAAAAUAAAAGCUUAUGACCGAAGAAACAUGCUUGGAUAGGCGUCCUUGUCGACCUCGCAGUCUCCAACCCAUCCUUAGGUACCAUCAGCUAUGACCCUAAUGGACCCCGAAUAAAAAGGAGAAAACAUUUGACACUUAUCGUGGCCAACCAUGAAACCGUGUUUCAGAAACUGCAUCAUAGCACAUAUUUCAACCACCGUUUCCUGGUUUGUAAUAUGUACUAGCCUUCUGAAAAAGACUGAGGCUGCACUUGUUCCUGUUAGGUUGUCAUGUUACAAAAAGGCCUAUCUACAAAUAGGUGGACAAGAUAAAACAUUAAAAAUAGACUAGAGCAUUUUCCAUCUCCAUUGAUAAGAAAUAGCGGCAUGAUUGAAGGGCGAGACUACCAGCUGGUGAAGGAGAGGAUAUGUAUUCGGCGUGUCCUGAAGAGGUAGUCCACGAACCGGCAAUGGAGGAAAUAAGGUAGAGACGGCAAUAGCAGCAAGUACGUCAAGCGCCAGGGAUGUGGAUAUGGUGUGGCAUAAAAAGGUAGUCCACAAACCUCUGCUAGG